CAGUCGCCGCGGUAAUACAGAGGGUGCGAGCGUUAAUCGGAUUUACUGGGCGUAAAGCGUGCGUAGGCGGCUAAUUGAGUCGGAUGUGAAAUCCCCGAGCUUAACUUGGGAAUUGCAUUCGAUACUGGUUAGCUAGAGUGUGGGAUAGGAUGGUAGAAUUCCAGGUGUAGCGGUGAAAUGCGUAGAGAUCUGGAGGAAUACCGAUGGCGAAGGCAGCCAUCUGGCCUAACACUGACGCUGAGGUACGAAAGCAUGGGGAGCAAACAGGAUUAGAUACCCGUGUAGUCCCUGUCUCUUAUAC
rnacentral:rRNA from 1 species